rnacentral:lncRNA from 1 species
AGCAAAGCUCUGCCCCGGGGGGCAUUACAAGUCUUAGGCUAAUAAAUGUCAGGCUGGACUUUUUUGGAUUGCAAGUAACAAAAACAUAAACUAAGUUAAAACAAUAAGAAAUCAUUGUAAAAAAUACUGGUUGCCACAAGGAAUCUGGAACAGGCAGGACUGUAUCACAGGAACCAAUGUCACCAAUAGCCUCCGACCCUUCUUGGCCUUUCAGUUCUGGAGGGUCCAGUUUUGUCCUUGUGCUGAGGACCUCUCCGUGUCCCUAUCUCUAGCUCUGUCUUUGUAUUAGCCUCUCCUCCACGUGAAGGGAAAUAGGGUCAUAUAAAAGGUUCCCAACUUUAUAGUACUUUGCAAUUUUUCCCUGGGGAGAAAUUGUCUUUUUCACUUCUAGUUUCAAAAUUCCCCAAGGAGGUCGCUGAUUGGACUAAAAUGUGUCAGCUCUUCACUCCAGGACCAAUCCCCUGUGGCAAGGUGGGGGAGUGGGAUUUGAGAAGGGCUGUGACUGGCCCAGUUUAGGUCAGAGACGCCUUCCCCACUCGCCCACCCCCACCUCGGAGACAAACGGCUCUUCCGAGAGAAAAAGUAAAGGCAGAGAUGUCCCAAUUCGCUCAGUUUCCAUUAACUUUAAGCAGAAGUUUUGCCUGUGGAAAGAAGAUAUUCUGAUGGCACAGAGACUGAGGAGAUUAAAUGGCUUUCACAUCACCGUGCAAGAUGUCACUCAAUGAAUAUCUUGAUAACCUGAUUUCCAGAGCCACAUGAGCUGUAUGCUUCACUCUGUGCAGUGAGCGAGGUGCCAAUUUACUCUGGGGCCCUUCCAUUCCCU